UCCCAAGGAGAUUCCCUCUCCAGGGGACAGAUCAUACCCUCUAGGAAUAUUGCCCCUUGGGAAUGUCUCUGGCUUCUUGAGGAUAACAUGGGUGAGGAAAUGUGCUUCUUUUGUUCUCCUUAUAUUGUCUGUAUAC